UGUGUUUCUCACUCUCCCGCCGAAGAGAAGGAACUUGAAGGUGUUGCUUCUCUUAUUAAUCCAGCUGCGAGUGUGUUCUUAGACCAGCUGUCCUCCCCAUCCUGAGACCCUGAGGAACGAGCAGCGAAGCCUCUGAACAACAUCAUUAAAAUGCUUCCCGGGAAGAGACUCAAGCUGAGCCGGUGAGAAGCUCACAGCAGCACCGGUACCAAGGGAUGUGAGCUCAGAACGUGAGGCGGGAGUGGCUCCUGUUUAGCUCUGUGCCGGCUUGUGGAACAGUCUCAGAUGAGUCCCCUCACCCACGGGCCUAGGCUUCCUCACCUGUGAAACGAGAUGAUUGGCCUAGAUGACCUCUUGAUGACCUUUGGGCUUCUGACGGUCUGUGUUUCCAAAAGGAAACUAGGAGAAAUGGCUACCCGCCUCCCUUGCUGAGAUUUUGGGGACAAUCUCUAUGAAGAGCAAAGGAGGAAAUGGAUGCAAUCUCCAGUGCUCGCAGACAGCAGUGGCUUGAGACAGCACCGAGGACCUCAACCACUGUACCUGCUUGAAACAUCUGUAGCCCAACGGUGGCUCAAGUCAGGAGGAUCUUGUUCUCCAGAGAAGUCCAUCUGCCUGCAGUUACCCUCCAAAAUCCUGCUUAGGACUUGCUAAUUGAAGCAUGCCACUAUUCAGAAGUCUUCAACAACUCCCCAGUGCAUACAGAAGUCCAAAUCCUAAGCUCGGCACCCACAUUGUUUACCCUACUAUGGCCCUUGUGUCCCACUACUUCCUUUGGUCCAUUAUUAGCCACAGCAUAUGUGCUCACUACAAAUAAAUCUGUAUUUACUAUCUUGGGGACUUUGCCAACAGUGUUGCUUCUGCCUGAAGGCCUUCCCUGCUCUUCCCUCAUCUGAACCUCAUCAUUCAUCUGACAAAAUUUUAUUUGGUGUGUCUAAUAUGUGCUAGACACUGUUCUAGCACUGUUUGAAAUGGCGUCAGAUUGCAAGAAAGGCCACAGAUUCUUUCCCUCUUUCAAUCCAUGCCCUCUUGCUACGUACCUUUGAGUAUUCUCCCAUUGUGACUCUAGCCUAGGUCAUGUGAUUUGUUUUCGC